GCGGAGGAAAAGAAACUAACAAGGAUUCCCCUAGUAACUGCGAGUGAAGCGGGAAAAGCUCAAAUUUAAAAUCUGGUGGUCUUUGGCCAUCCGAGUUGUAAUUUAGAGAAGCGUCUUCCGCGCUGGACC
rnacentral:rRNA from 18 species